rnacentral:rRNA from 1 species
GACGAACGCUGGCGGCGUGCUUAACACAUGCAAGUCGAACGGAAAGGCCCUGCUUUUGUGGGGUGCUCGAGUGGCGAACGGGUGAGUAACACGUGAGUAACCUGCCCUUGACUUUGGGAUAACUUCAGGAAACUGGGGCUAAUACCGGAUAGGUGCUCCGGCUGCAUGGUGGGGGUUGGACAGUUUCGGCGGUUGGGGAUGGACUCGCGGCUUAUCAGCUUGUUGGUGGGGUAGUGGCUUACCAAGGCUUUGACGGGUAGCCGGCCUGAGAGGGUGACCGGCCACAUUGGGACUGAGAUACGGACCAGACGCCUACGGGAGGCAGCAGUGGGGAAUAUUGCACAAUGGGCGGGAGCCUGAUGCAGCAACGCCGCGUGCGGGAUGACGGCCUUCGGGUUGUAAACCGCUUUCGCCUGUGACGAAGCGUGAGUGACGGUAAUGGGUAAAGAAGCACCGGCUAACUACGUG